UACAGAGGUCUCAAGCGUUGUUCGGAUUCAUUGGGCGUAAAGGGUGCGUAGGUGGCGCGGUAAGUCGGGUGUGAAAUUUCGGAGCUUAACUCCGAAACUGCAUUCGAUACUGCAGUGCUUGAGGACUGGAGAGGAGACUGGAAUUUACGGUGUAGCAGUGAAAUGCGUAGAGAUCGUAAGGAAGACCAGUGGCGAAGGCGGGUCUCUGGACAGUUCCUGACACUGAGGCACGAAGGCCAGGGGAGCAAACGGG
rnacentral:rRNA from 1 species